AAUGAUUGACAGGGAGCUAAGAUGGAGGUGGCUCUCUCUAUACUGACUGCCAGGUGUAAAGGGCGGAGCUUAUAACAAUGAUUGACAGGGAGCUAAGAUGGAGGUGGCUCUCUCUAUACUGACUGCCAGGUGUAAAGGGCGGAGCUUAUAACAAUGAUUGACAGGGAGCUAAGAUGGAGGUGUCUCUCUCUAUACUGACUGCCAGGUGUAAAGGGCGGAGCUUAUAACAAUGAUUGACAGGGAGCUAAGAUGGAGGCGGCUCUCUCUAUACUGACUGCCAGGUGUAAAGGGCGGAGCUUAUAACAAUGAUUGACAGGGAGCUAAGAUGGAGGUGGCUCUCUAUACUGACUGCCAGGUGUAAAGGGCGGAGCUUAUAACAAUGAUUGACAGGGAGCUAAGAUGGAGGCGGCUCUCUCUAUACUGACUGCCAGGUGUAAAGGGCGGAGCUUAUAACAAUGAUUGACAGGGAGCUAAGAUGGAGGCGGCUCUCUCUAUACUGACUGCCAGGUGUAAAGGGCGGAGCUUAUAACAAUGAUUGACAGGGAGCUAAGAUGGAGGUUGCUCUCUCUAUACUGACUGCCAGGUGUAAAGGGCGGAGCUUAUAACAAUGAUUGACAGGGAGCUAAGAUGGAGG